AUUGAACGCUGGCGGCAGGCCUAACACAUGCAAGUCGAGCGGUGCGGCGGACGGGUGAGUAAUGCCUAGGAAUCUGCCUGGUAGUGGGGGAUAACGUCCGGACACGGGCGCUAAUCCCACAUACUAUCAGAUGAGCCUAGGUCGGAUUAGCUAGUUGGUGAGGUAAGGGCCUACCAAGGCGACGAUCCGUAACUGGUCUGAGAGGCUGAUCAGCCACACUGGAACUGAGACACGGGCCAGACUCCUACGGGAGGCAGCAGUAGGGAAUAUUGGACAAUGGGCGAAAGCCUGACCCAGCCAUGCCGCGUGAGUGAAGAAGGUCUUCGGAUUGUAAAGCACUUUAAGUUGGGAGGCGGUACCAACAGAGAAAGCACCGGCUAACUUCGUGCCAGCAGCCGCGGUAAUAC
rnacentral:rRNA from 1 species